rnacentral:tRNA from 1 species
GGUAGCAUGGUCCAGUGGGUAGGACCUGGGCCUGGGAGUCAGAAGGACCUGGGUUCUACUCCCAGUUCCACCA